UACGAGUGCCCCAAGCGUUAUCCGGAAUCAUUGGGCGUAAAGGGUGUGUAGGCGGCAUGGUUAGUCUCUUGUCAAAGCUCCUGGCUUAACUGGGAAAACGCAAGGGAAACGGCCAUUGCUAGAGGAUGUGAGAGGUGAAUGGAACUCAUGGUGUAGGGGUGAAAUCCGUUGAUAUCAUGGGGAACACCAAAAGCGAAGGCAAUUCACUGGCGCAUUCCUGACGCUGAAACACGAAAGCGUGGGUAGCGAAUGGG
rnacentral:rRNA from 1 species